GUGUCAGCAGCCGCGGUAAUACGUAGGGAGCGAGCGUUGUCCGGAUUCAUUGGGCGUAAAGAGCUCGUAGGCGGCUUGGUAAGUCGGAUGUGAAACCUCCAGGCUCAACCUGGAGUCGCCAUCCGAUACUGCUAUGGCUAGAGUCCGGUAGGGGCCCACGGAAUUCCUGGUGUAGCGGUGAAAUGCGCAGAUAUCAGGAGGAACACCGAUGGCGAAGGCAGUGGGCUGGGCCGGCACUGACGCUGAGGAGCGAAAGCGUGGGGAGCGAACAGGAUUAGAAACCCCGGUAGUCC
rnacentral:rRNA from 1 species